GUGGCUGUGGCUCAGUGUUAAGAGUGCUCACAUAGCAUGUGUGAGGCCCUGGGUUCGAUCCUCAGUACCACA
rnacentral:tRNA from 1 species